rnacentral:pre_miRNA from 15 species
UUCUUGUUGCUUUGAAGAAUUGCAGUCGGUUGCAAGCUUAAAUACAAAUCCGAAUUGUUAUUAAAGCUACCAACCGGCUUCAAGUCUGAAAGAGCAG